rnacentral:misc_RNA from 1 species
CGCAUAAAGCUUGAACCUAGCCGUCGGUGGAGCGCGGCGAAACUUGAUGUUGCAACUGAAUCAAGAGCUUGAACAAGAUGAAUCCCGGAGUUUCCGGCCUCCAGUGGGUUCACCAGUAACCAACUCUCCACCAGGUAGCUGGGCACAGUUCAACAAUUCUACUGAACAUAGUCAUAGUCCAUUGCAAAGUAUCAGCAAGUCCCCUGUUUUCAGGAAUUUGAGCCCUACAACUGGCAACCAUUUACCUGGGCUGGCUUCAAUUCUUCAUUCUCAAGGAUCAAACUCUGUGAAAGUUGCACCUAUCGGCAAAGACCAAGGAAGGGGUAGUCUUGUGGAUCAUACAUUUACAAACAUGAAUUCAGCCCAUGGAGCUACAUUACCACAAUCACAUUCAUUGCCUGAGUCAAAGCUGAAUCAAUACCCUGGAAGUAUGUCUCCUUUUGGUGGCCCUUCAACAUCUAAUGGAUCUGUUAUGGAAACAUUAUCAGGGCCACAGUUUCUUUGGGGAAGUCCUAAUCUGUACCCAGAUCAUGCCACUUCAUCUGCCUGGACAACAUCUUUGGGCCAUCCAUUUUCAUCCAAUGGGAAGGGUCAUGGCUUUUCAUACAUGGGUCGGCAUGGUUCUUUCCUUGGCUCAUCCCAGAACCAUCAUCAUGUUGGUUCUGCUCCAUCUGGAGUUCCUUUGGAGGGGCACUUUGGAUUUUUCCCUGAGUCACCAGAAACUUCAUACAUGAGUCGUGUUGCAUAUGGAGGCAUGGGUUUAGGCCACAAUGAUGGAAAUUUCAUUAUGAAUAUGGGCAAUCGUACUCCGAUGAAUGCUGGUGUUACCAUUCCAAGAAAAAUUUCUGAAAAUGGUUCUUCAAGUUACAGAAUGAUGUCUUCGCCAUUACCUAAAAAUACAUGAUUUAGCCUUGGCCCAUACCCUGGAUUGGCAGCUACCACAAUGGAAGGUUUUACUGAGCGCGGGCGGAGCCGACGGGUUGAGAAUAAUGGUAACCAAGUAGAUAGCAAGAAACAGUUUCAGCUUGACUUGGAUAAAAUUAUCAGUGGGGAAGA